rnacentral:rRNA from 1 species
CCUGGCUUAGGACGAACGCUGGCGGCGUGCCUAAUACAUGCAAGUCGAACGGUCUUUUCUAUGGAAGCUUGCUUCCACUGAGAAGAUAGUGGCGAACGGGUGAGUAACACGUGGGUAACCUGCCCAUAAGAGGGGGAUAACAUCCGGAAACGGGUGCUAAUACCGCAUAGUUUUCUUGAUCGCAUGAUCGGGAAAGGAAAGACGGCCUUUGUGCUGUCGCCUAUGGAUGGACCCGCGGCGUAUUAGUUAGUUGGUGAGGUAACGGCUCACCAAGACGAUGAUACGUAGCCGACCUGAGAGGGUGAUCGGCCACAUUGGGACUGAGACACGGCCCAAACUCCUACGGGAGGCAGCAGUAGGGAAUCUUCCGCAAUGGACGAAAGUCUGACGGAGCAACGCCGCGUGAGUGAAAGAAGGUUUUCGGAUCGUAAAACUCUGUUGUCAGAGAAGAACAAGUUGGAGAGUAACUGCUCCAGCCUUGACGGUAUCUGACCAGAAAGCCACGGCUAACUACGUGCCAGCCGCCGC